AAGAGACGACGAACUAAUAAAAACUGCUAUUUAUUUAUAAUUGAGGUUAAACUCCACAAGUCUUUUA
rnacentral:tRNA from 1 species